UUGAGUUUGUCCAGCGGAUUCCUGGCUCCCCUCACAUCUCCCUGGGUGCCUGCUUAUGGGGGAGGACUCUCCAGUGGGGCUGCAGACCCCAUGGCUUUCGUCCACCUUCUGCCCCAGGCUGCAGGACACCUUUUCCCAAGGGCAGCCUGACCUACGCAGUCACUGCAAGGACCCUGGGGAUGUGCUGCAGGUGCCACACGACCUCUCGCUGCCUCCUCACUGCCUCCUUUUACAAAGAUGCUGUCAUUUGAAUUCAUCAAGCUCACUGGUGCAUGUUUUCCUGGCUGUGGUAAAGGACCUGCUGCCUAGAUGGCCCUGAGCUCAAGGAUAUUCUUGGUGACACAGAGACCAGUGGAGUUCUCAGCUCACUGAUGAAACUUGAGGACUGUAUGCACUUCACACUGCUGAUGGACUUGGGUCAGACUCCUACCUGCUGAAAUCUGGGAAACACCUGGGAGGGAUGGAGGCCUCUAACAGGAUAUAUUACCAGAAGGUCAAAUAUC